rnacentral:misc_RNA from 1 species
GCAAGAAGAUCGAGGCCGAUCCCACCCGCCCCGCAUACAUCCAGACCGUCUACGGGAUCGGUUACAAGCUGGGCUACGCAUCGGAAGCGGUGGAAGCGGAAAGGUAAUGGACAAAUAUGUUGCAUAGUUUGCGGGUGCGCCUCCUUCUGACGAUGGGCCUCGUCGUCCUCAUGGCCGUGGGCACCAUAGCCUUCUUCACAAGCCGCUGGACGCUCGGCGAGUUCCGCACAUACGUCAGGCGAGACAUGGAGCAGAACCAGCGCAUCGUCUCCGAUCUCCUCGACCAGUACAACGGCGAUCCAAGCCCCGAAAACUUGCAGGUGCUGGUCGACCGGCUGGCGGGCAUUUCCAGCGAGCGCUUCGUGGUGGCCGAUCGGGACGGCAACAUCCUUGCCGACUCCGAGCACACCCUGGUGGGCGAGACACUGCCCCUGCCCGUCCCUUUUGAAGCCGGCGCAGGCGGGGUCGCCUU